GAGCCCGGCGUGUGCAGCCGGCGCCGAGCUUUCCAUGAACAGUCCCGUCCGGCAGGGCGAGCAGCGCGGGCGGGCGGGCUCCGGCACAUCUGCCGGCGGCGGCGGCGGCGGCGGCGGCAGCCUCCUUGGGAGCCCGGCAGGGGUUCUCUCUGGGAACGACACCCCCCAGCGAGCCCGUCCCUGGCACUGGGUAGUGCCCGGGCACCCGGCGGUCCUGCCCUGAGAAUAGCCUCUACCUGUGGCAUCACCUGUCCUGCCUCUCGCCUGAAUCUGCCGUGAGGCCAGCUGUGUGCCAGCGAGCUCACUGUGUCUGUGACACCUUGUCUGAAGUUCAUUUACAUCCUCCGGAUUUGCCACAUGCUGUGAAUCUUCCAGCUUGUGCCUGCAUUGCACGUUCAAAACAAAAGAUGGGUUUGGACUUUGUGAAACAUCUAUGCUUUCUGAUGAAUUUUAGAUGAUCUCCAAUGAUAUUUACAUGGUUGUGCUGUAAUGCAGUGACACAUUUGGUUAUAUAAAAUAUGGAAAGCCAAGCAUCUCAGAACCUUUUCUGAAUGCUUUCUACUGGAGACUAUCAAAGCAUGAUGACUGUUACUGCAAUGAUGACCUUCUUGAACAUGAGAUGACUGCACCAGUUUGGCCAAACAGAGAAGGACAAUGAACAUUUUCAUUACUGUGACAGAAUUCAUUUUGGAAAAACAAGCAUUCAAGCUGCGAUGGGACAUGGACUUGUGCACAUGCUCUCUUCAGGAGUGGUGAGAAGCAAUCACAAA